rnacentral:rRNA from 1 species
AUCGGUUUAAAGGGUACCUAGACGGUAGAUCAAGCUUUCAAAUAAAAAAAGGGACUAWUUUACUAGAGUUACUUAUGAGGGGGUAGUAAAGUACUGGKGGUGUAGAGAUGAAAUUCUGUCAUACCUCUUUUCAAAARAAAACAUAUGGCACAGGUAURGGCGAAGGCCUCCCCUUAUGUGAUAACUGACKUUGAGGGACGAAGGCGACGUGAAACAAACAGGAUUAGAUCCCCUAGUAGUUGUAGCAAAAAAUGAUGAAGGUCAUAGAUNAGAUGUAUAAKUUUAUUCUAUAAAUGAAAGUGUAAGCNUUCCCCCUCAAGAGUAAUUUGGCAACUUUGGAACUGAAAUCAUUAGACCGUUUCUGAAACCAG